GAAAGGUCAAGACGGUGGAGCCGCCGGAGAGUGGAUAUUCCGACAGGGAAUGUUCCGGAGAAGAGGUUUUGACGGAGGUAAAGAUGCCUUAAGUAACGCCACGAAGACAAGUUAACGGCAGAGGAAGAGAAAAAGCGGUUAUUCUUAAGGCUGAGGAGUCUUAGGUAAGAAAGGUGAUGCAGUGAAUGAGUUGAACCAGAAAGGUUUAGGUUCUCAAGAACGAGUCGUGUAACUCGGUGAGUGGAAGGGUUACAUGUGACGCCAUACCAAGAAUCAAUGCAAGGAUUAGAUGAGUUAACCC
rnacentral:lncRNA from 1 species